CCAAGGAAAUAGAUAUCCAGC
rnacentral:miRNA from 1 species